UACGGAGGGAGCUAGCGUUAUUCGGAAUUACUGGGCGUAAAGCGCACGUAGGCGGGUCUUUAAGUCAGGGGUGAAAUCCUGGAGCUCAACUCCAGAACUGCCUUUGAUACUGAGGAUCUUGAGUUCGGGAGAGGUGAGUGGAACUGCGAGUGUAGAGGUGAAAUUCGUAGAUAUUCGCAAGAACACCAGUGGCGAAGGCGGCUCACUGGCCCGAUACUGACGCUGAGGCACGAAAGCGUGGGGAGCAAACAGG
rnacentral:rRNA from 1 species